GUCUGUCAAAGCUUGUUGAAACUGUGGAGAUGGCUGUGGUGCACCAUGAAAUUUUUUUUUUCUUUUUACAAUUGCAAUGAUGGCAUCUAGAGUGCAUACUACACAAAAGUUACCAUCUCAGGUUCAGUUGACUGGCAAUCUGAAUUUUAUUUUUUAUUUUAUUAUUUAGAUGAAGUGCCCAAUUUAUGUCAGGACUUUUCCAUAGCUGAAUGGGAUUGUAUUGUUCUGCUAUCAACUAAGGGCUUAUUUGGCAUUGCUGUUGGAAUUGCUGUUUAGAAAAUCACUUUUUAAAUAUACU
rnacentral:misc_RNA from 1 species